UUUGGCAAUAGAAGUAACAGCUUCUUUCUUGCAUAAGAAUAAGGGGAAAAGACAAACAUGGAAAGAUACAUUGGAUAGCUUAAAAAGGAAGCCGGAGAAUAAAGUCCAACAAGUGAUCCAGUUAAGCUAUGACUCCUUGCAUGAAGAGACAAAAGAGAUAUUUCUCGACAUAGCAUGUUUUUUCAUUGGAACAGAUGAGAGAAUUCCCUUAUACAUGUGGCGUGCAUGUAAAUAUGAUCCAAGAGGAGUCAAAUUUCUCCAUGACCUAGGUUUGGUCAAAAUUAGAGAAAACAAUGAAAUAUGGAUGCAUAAUCAACUAAGGGAAUUUGGCCGGGAAACUGUUAGAAUGCAAGAUCCCCACGAGCCUCGAAACCGAAGUAGGUUAUGGAAUCACAUUGAUGCACUUUCCAUGCUUAAUGGAAAGCAGAGUCCUAGCAAGGUGGAAGCCCUUGGUCUCACAUUUGAUGAGGGACAAAGUGAAAGUUUAAGAUGUGAAAGAUUUAGCCAUCUAGGGCGCUUGAGGUUCUUGAGAUUGGACCGGGCUAUUGUUGGAGGGAGUUCUCAUGAUGUAUCUGGCUACCUAGGGCACUUGAGGUUGUGGAGAUUGGACAAGGAUUCUGUUGGAGGGAGUUCUCAGAGUGUUCUUUCAAAUUUAAGGUGGCUUGAUUGGCAAGGGUGCAGUCAGAUCUCUGAACUACUUAUUUUUCAUUUGAGAAACUGGUCAUUCUUGAUCUAUCUCGCAGUUUGGUCAUUGGAGAUUCACAAGUAUGGGGACAAGUCUUGAAGAAGGCAAAGGAAUUGAAGGUUUUGAACCUAAGUAGUUGUAGUAACCUGAAUGCUUUUCCAGACUUCCAUGCUUUGAUGUACUUAGAGAUAUUGGUCCUGGAACAUUGUUCC